ACCUCUAGCGCGCACGCUGGGACCCGAAAGAUGGUGACCUAUUCCUGGUCAGGACGAAGUCAGGGGAAACCCUGAUGGAGGUCCGCAGCGAUUCUGUCGUGCAAAUCGAUCGUCAGAGCUGGGUAUAGGGGCGAAAGACCAAUCGACCCGUCUAGUAUCUGGUUCCCUCCGAAGUUUCCCUUAGGAUAGCUGGCGCUCGUAUCGACAUGUAUCAUGCGGUAACACGCGAGACUGAUUAGAGCGAAUCGGGGUCGCGCAAUAAUGCGCACCGGCCGAACGUACGCAUCGGUCUGUGUUUGAAUGUCGCGUCGGGCGUGCCGAGACGCCUUUUUGAGAACGCGCCGGGUUCGAGGAGCCGCUAAGAAAGACGGAAACGAGUCCCGCCGACGCCGCCUCGAGCUUCCCGCGACGUCCCCUUCGUGCGUCGGCGACUCCCAACGGGUCGCGACGUCCUACCGGCCGAGAAGUGCACGCCGCCGCCGCCUCUCAUGCGGCUGCCGAACG
rnacentral:rRNA from 1 species